GGGGGAGCGCAGGAUCCUGGGCUGUGUCCCCUGCGCCCUGGGCUCUAGGGCCUGUGCCGCUGGAAUCGCGCUCCCAGGGCGGACAGCCCCCU
rnacentral:pre_miRNA from 1 species